UAGGGAAUCUUCGGCAAUGGACGAAAGUCUGACCGAGCAACGCCGCGUGAGUGAAGAAGGUUUUCGGAUCGUAAAACUCUGUUGUUAGAGAAGAACAAGGACGUUAGUAACUGAACGUCCCCUGACGGUAUCUAACCAGAAAGCCACGGCUAACUACGUGCCAGCAGCCGCGGUAAUACGUAGGUGGCAAGCGUUGUCCGGAUUUAUUGGGCGUAAAGCGAGCGCAGGCGGUUUCUUAAGUCUGAUGUGAAAGCCCCCGGCUCAACCGGGGAGGGUCAGUGGAAACUGGGAGACGUGAGUGCAGAAGAGGAGGGUGUAAUUCCAUGUGUAGCGGUGAAAUGCGUAGAUAUAUGGAGGAACACCAGUGGCGAAGGCGGCUCGCUGGUCUGUAACUGCCGCUGAGGCUCGAAAGCGUGGGGAGCAAACAGG
rnacentral:rRNA from 1 species